AUUGAGCCAUUUUCACCCUGGUCUUUGUUUAUCAAGCGAAUUUAGUUUUGUAGAAAAACAGCUUGUUUAUUAUUUGUAUUAAAUUUUAAUCGUCAUGUCCUAUCGAAAUAAUGAUUGUAGAAUAUAUGUUGGUAAUUUACCACCCGAUAUUAGAACUAAAGAUAUUGAAGAUUUAUUCUACAAAUUCGGAAAGAUAACAUUUAUCGAUUUGAAAAAUAGAAGAGGACCACCUUUCGCUUUCGUAGAAUUCGAUGAUCCUAGAGAUGCUGAUGAUGCUGUUGGAGCUCGAGAUGGAUAUGAUUAUGAUGGUUAUCGUUUGAGAGUUGAAUUUCCUCGUGGUAAUGGUCCUGGAAGAGGUAUGGGAACGCCUAGAGGAAGAGGUCGUGGUCCUCCUGCUAGACGGUCUCAGUAUAGAGUUUUGGUAUCAGGUCUUCCAUCAACUGGUAGUUGGCAAGAUUUAAAAGAUCAUAUGCGUGAGGCAGGUGAUGUUUGCUAUGCUGAUGUUCAUAAGGAUGGUACAGGAGUUGUUGAAUUUUUGAGAUAUGAAGACAUGAAGUAUGCAGUUAAAAAAUUAGAUGAUUCAAGAUUCCGAUCUCAUGAAGGAGAAGUUGCCUAUAUUCGAGUUAAGGAAGAUUACGGGAGCAGAUCUCGUUCAAGAAGCCAGAGUUAUUCUCCACCUCGGCGUACCCGUGGCUCACCUACCUAUUCUCCUGCACAUCGCUCAAGGUCCCGAUCUCGCUCAAGAUCCUCAUAGACAUUCAUUCAGAAAGCUCUUUCAUUUCCAGAACUGAUUUUAUGCAAACAUGGAUACCCGUCAUGAUGAAAUUGAAAUUUGAAUAAAAUGGAAUACUAAGGAGCAUUGCAGGAAUGAUCAGUUUUUUAGUGGAUCCCUUACUUGGCAAGCAGGAGCCGUGCAAUGGAUAUCUGUUUGAGGGUUUUAUGCUAAAAAUAUCAGGAUAAAAGGAAUAUACAUUACAAAGAAGCGGAGAAUGUAUGUGGAGCUCUGUGAAAGUUUUCGGUGAUCACUUAACUUGGAUCUUUAGGAUUUCAAUCCCAAAUUGGAUCAAACUGGAUAGGAGCAGUGUUUAAGAGUAUUUUUCUCCUAUGGAUCACACACUGCUGGGAACAAAACUGUGGAUUUAUCUUUUAAGGAAAAUAUCGGAUUUAAAGACUUGCUGGGAGGAAAUUAUUUGGAAAACACAGGAUGGGAUAAAGAUACUACACAUACAGGAGGAUGCACGUAUAACUUUGCGUUGGAUGGAACAGGAUUGGAAUUUUAGGUUGCCUGCUUGGAUCACUGCUAAGUUGCAGAGCAAUAAUUUUAAGGAUUGGCUGCAUGGAUUCCUCCUGGAUACACGGAGUGGAUCAUGGAGGAUUGGAUUUGCAAAAUAUUAAAUGAGUUAUAAAAAAAAAAGGAAAUAUUAUCCCUUUAAUUUUACUUGGUUAGAAUAGCUUGAUUUCCCCCUCAGUUUCACCAAUUUCUUUGUUGCAUUAUUUCCAAUAUAGGAAAUUGAUACUGUGCUAGUUUAAUUCCCCAGUGGGGUUUGGGAAUAUGACAGUUGCAUUCCAUUUAAACUUCCCUAAGUCUACAAGAGCUCGCUUCAAUUCUAGAUAGAAAAUGGAAUCAUAUUUCAUAGCAUUAUUAAUAUAUUCCUUUGAAGUUUUAAGCUUAUAAUUACUUUGAAUUAUUUUUACAAUUUUUUUUAACCUUUUUAAAAUUUAUUUUAUCUUUGUUCCUCUUUUUCAAAGCCUUUUCUUUUAUUUACUGUGCUUGUAAA